UACGUAGGUGGCGAGCGUUUGUCCGGAUUUACUGGGCGUAAAGAGCGCGCAGGCGGCUGGUCAAGUCCGAUGUGAAAGCUCCCGGCUUAACUGGGAAAUUGCAUCGGAAACUGAUCGGCUGGAAGGUGGGAGAGGGUAGCGGAAUUCCCGGUGUAGUGGUGAAAUGCGUAGAUAUCGGGAGGAACACCAGUGGCGAAAGCGGCUACCUGGCCCAUUCUUGACGCUGAGGCGGCGAAAAGCUAGGGGAGCAAACGGGG
rnacentral:rRNA from 1 species